GACGAACGCUGGCGGCGUGCUUAACACAUGCCAGUCGAACGAAGAGCGAUGGAAGCUUGCUUCUAUCAAUCUUAGUGGCGAACGGGUGAGUAACGCGUAAUCAACCUGCCCUUCAGAGGGGGACAACAGUUGGAAACGACUGCUAAUACCGCAUACGAUCUAAUCUCGGCAUCGAGGAUAGAUGAAAGGUGGCCUCUACAUGUAAGCUAUCACUGAAGGAGGGGAUUGCGUCUGAUUAGCUAGUUGGAGGGGUAACGGCCCACCAAGGCGAUGAUCAGUAGCCGGUCUGAGAGGAUGAACGGCCACAUUGGGACUGAGACACGGCCCAGACUCCUACGGGAGGCAGCAGUGGUGAAUCUUCCGCAAUGGACGAAAGUCUGACGGAGCAACGCCGCGUGAGUGAGGACGGCCUUCGGGUUGUAAAGCUCGGUUAAUCGGGACGAAAGGCCUUCUUGCGAAUAGUGAGAAGGAUUGACGGUACCGGAAUAGAAAGCCACGGCUAACUACGUG
rnacentral:rRNA from 1 species